rnacentral:rRNA from 1 species
AGUGAACGCUGGCGGUAGGCCUAACACAUGCAAGUCGAACGGCAGCACAGAGGAGCUUGCUCCUUGGGUGGCGAGUGGCGGACGGGUGAGGAAUACAUCGGAAUCUACUCUGUCGUGGGGGAUAACGUAGGGAAACUUACGCUAAUACCGCAUACGACCUACGGGUGAAAGCAGGGGAUCUUCGGACCUUGCGCGAUUGAAUGAGCCGAUGUCGGAUUAGCUAGUUGGCGGGGUAAAGGCCCACCAAGGCGACGAUCCGUAGCUGGUCUGAGGGGAUGAUCAGCCACACUGGAACUGAGACACGGUCCAGACUCCUACGGGAGGCAGCAGUGGGGAAUAUUGGACAAUGGGCGCAAGCCUGAUCCAGCCAUACCGCGUGGAUGAAGAAGGCCUUCGGGUUGUAAAGCCCUUUUGUUGGGAAAGAAAUCCAGCCGGCUAAUACCUGGUUGGGAUGACGGUACCCAAAGAAUAAGCACCGGCUAACUUCGUGCCAGCAGCCGCGGUAAUACGAAGGGUGCAAGCGUUACUCGGAAUUACUGGGCGUAAAGCGUGCGUAGGUGGUUAUUUAAGUCCGUUGUGAAAGCCCUGGGCUCAACCUGGGAACUGCAGUGGAUACUGGAUGACUAGAAUGUGGUAGAGGGUAGCGGAAUUCCUGGUGUAGCAGUGAAAUGCGUAGAGAUCAGGAGGAACAUCCAUGGCGAAGGCAGCUACCUGGACCAACAUUGACACUGAGGCACGAAAGCGUGGGGAGCAAACAGG